rnacentral:rRNA from 1 species
GAUGAACGCUGGCGGCGUGCCUAAUACAUGCAAGUCGAGCGAACGGACGAGAAGCGUGCGUCUCUGAUGGUAGCGGCGGACGGGUGAGUAAGAAGUGGAUAACCUACCUAUAAGACGGGGAGAACAUCGGGAAACCGGAGCGAAUACCGGAUAAUACUAUGAACGGCAUGGAUCAAAAGUAAAAGACGGUCUUGCUGACACAUAUAGAUGGAUCCGCGCUGCAUUAGCUAGUUGGUAAGGUAACGGCUUACCAAGGCAACGAUGCAUAGCCGACCUGAGAGGAUGAUCUGCCACACUGGAACUGAGACACGGUCCAGACUCCUACGGGAGGCAGCAGUGGGGAAUCUUCCGCAAUGGGCGAAAGCCUGACGGAGCCACGCCGCGUGAGUGAUGAAGGUCUUCGGCUCGUAAAACUCUGUUAUUAGGGAAGAACAUAUGUGUAAGUAACUGUGCACAUCUUGACGGUACCUAAUCAGAAAGCCACGGCUAACUUCGUG